AAUCACUCGAAAGCAAAGCAGUCGGUCGUCAACACUGAAACCCUCGGCCACUCACGCGACACCGCACCCGCGCCCCCAUCUCCGGCGACGGGGCCAUCAUGAGCGGCGGCAGCGGCAGCCCGAGCGGGCCGGACUCCCGCGUGGAGACCAUCUCCCGCCUCGCCCAGUGGCGCAUCGACACCUUCGGCCCCUGCUCCUACCGCCGGUCCGACCCUUUCAAGCUCGGCAUCUGGAACUGGUACCUGUCAGUGGAGAAGAGCAGGUCGGUGUACGUGCGGCUCUUCCCGGAGCCCGGCCGGCUGGCCAAGGAGCAGCCGCCGCUCGCCCGCUUCGUGCUCCGCGUCUCCUGGGUUGGCCCGCCGCGCCGCUCCAGCGUCUCCCCAGUUUUCGAGCAGCUUCUCCGAAGCAGCGAUGAUUUUGUGUGGCAAGUUGAUGUGAUGUCCCACGGGCGUUUUACGAUUGACGUUGAGUUCUUGGACCUGAAGAUAGCCACGAACAAUGCAAGUGUCCUCUGUCCUUUUCCCCUCGAAUCAGCUUCAAACGGUUCCUUCUUCUUUGUAGGAUAUACUCCCUCCAUCCCCAAAUACAUGGCAUAUAAACUUACUGCCAUGUAUUUGGAGACGGAGGGAGUAUAUAUUUUAUAGGCAUGUGUAAGUAGUAACCUCUGUCAGGAUUUUCUAAAAUGUGAUCCAGUUUUAAUUAAUGUGCGGACAGGGCACUGAAUCGUCGUCGUCGAUCUGGCCGAAUGAAGGCAUGGUGCAGGGCGUGGCCAGCAAGAGCACCCUGGGCUGCCUCUCGCGCAUGCUCACGGAGUCCAUCCACGCGGACGUGACCAUAAACACGACGGACGGCGUGCUGAAGGCGCACAAGUCGGUGCUGGCGGCCUGCUCGCCCGUGUUCGAGAGCAUGUUCGUCCACGACCUCAAGGAGAAGUCAUCGUCGACGAUCGACAUCGGGGACAUGUGCGUGGAGUCGUGCUCGGCCCUGCUGGGUUCGUGUACGGGACGAUCCGGCAGGAGCAGUUCUGGAAGCACCGGCUGGCGCUGCUGGCGGCGGCCAACAAGUACGGGCUGGGCGAGGUGAAGGCGUGCUGCGAGGAGAGCCUGCUGGAGGACAUCAGCUCGGGCAACGUGCUGGAGCGGCUCCACGUGGCGUGGCUGUACCAGCUGGAGCGGCUCAAGAAGGGGUGCCUGGCGUACCUGUUUGUGUUCGGGAAGAUCUACGACGUGCGGGACGAGAUCAGCGGGUUCUUCCAGCACGCGGACCGCGAGCUCACCCUGGAGAUGUUCCAGGAGGUGCUCAGCGUGUGGAAGCCCAUCUGAAGCUUGUGUGUACAUAGGGUUUGUGGAACCACAAAGAUCAAAGGGAAGAAGCUACUGGAAAGAGUGGAAAGAAUAGCCCCAAAAGUAUACAAGGUACGUAGGGUUUAUGAAAAGGUGUACAGUAUAAAAUACGUACAUACAUAGUGCAAACUGAGAAUUUACACCAAUGUAAUUAUGCAAAUGUGACUCGCUACCGGUGUGUGCCGGGUGUGUAAGAAGUUUGUGAGCAAGUGGUGUAAUUAACAGUAUUAUACCUUUGCUCUGUUGUCCAGCAUGAACCCUGGUACAGUACGUAUAUGUGACUCAUCUAGAUUGGAUUAUGGAGUUGAUCUGGCUGGCGUGCCGUGUCUCGUCUGCUCUAGAAUUGGUCCUGGUAGUACUAGUAGAGAUUGGUUAACUACGAGGUUUGCUGAUAGGUUACGGAUGAUGAGUUAGACUUGGCAAGGCGCGCGGUAGGUCUGGUCUGCAGGUCUGGGUUUCGCCGCCCCAAUCUGGAUUACACAGCUUGACUUUGUACC
rnacentral:rRNA from 1 species